AGAGCGAACGCUGGCGGCAGGCCUAACACAUGCAAGUCGAGCGCCCCGCAAGGGGAGCGGCAGACGGGAGAGUAACACGUGGGAACGUACCCUUUGGUUCGGAACAACACAGGGAAACUUGUGCUAAUACCGGAUAAGCCCUUACGGGGAAAGAUUUAUUGCCAAAGGAUCGGCCCGCGUCUGAUUAGCUUGUUGGUGAGGUAACGGCUCACCAAGGCUACGAUCAGUAGCUGGUCUGAGAGGAUGAUCAGCCUCACUGGGACUGAGACACGGCCCAGACUCCUACGGGAGGCAGCAGUGGGGAAUAUGGACAAUGGGCGCAAGCCUGAUCCAGCCAUGCCGCGUGGAUGAUGAAGGCCCUAGGGUUGUAAAGUCCUUUCGACGGGAAGAUAAUGACGGUACCGUAGAAGAACGCCCCGGACUAACUUCGUGCCAGCAGCCG
rnacentral:rRNA from 1 species